GCUGGGUGCGGUGGUGGGCGCCUGUAAUCCCAGCUACUUGGGAGGCUGAGGCAGGAGAAUUGCUUGAACCCAGGAGGCGGAGUUUGCAGUGAGCCAAGAUCGCACCACUGCACUCUAGCCUGGGUGACAGAGCAAGACUCUGCCUCAA
rnacentral:SRP_RNA from 1 species